GGCUUAGUAAUAGCGUUGCGGAAGACUCGUACAGGUUUCCGUAGGUGAACCUGCGGAGGACUAUAUCAAUAAGCGGAGGAAACCCUUCUUGUUUCCCUGGUGGGAUCCCCCACCAGUAAGACAAACAUAAACCUUUUGUAAUUGCUUGCUAUUUCACCAACCAAUUAAUAAUUACUUCUUUCAACAACGGAUCUCUUGGUUCUGGCAUCGAUGAAUAACGCAUCGAAAUGCAAUAAGUAGUGUGAAUUGCAGAAUUCAGUGAAUCAUCAAAUCUUUGAACGCACAUUGCGCCCUUUGGUAUUCCAAAGGGUGUGCCUGUUCGGGCGUCAUUUGUACCCUCAAGCUUUGCUUGGUGUUGGGCGUCUUGUCUCUAGCUUUGCUGGAGACUCGCCUUAAAGUAAUUGACAGCCGGCCUACUGGUUUCGGAGCGCAGCACAAGUCGCACUCUCUAUCAUCAAAGGUCUAACAUCCAUUAAGCCUUUUUUUCACCUUUUGACCUCGGAUCGGGUUCGGAUACCGGCUGAACUUAAGCAUAUCAAUAAGCGGAGGAAA
rnacentral:rRNA from 1 species